UGUGUGUGCGCGUGUGAGUGUGCGUGUGCCCGGCACCCAGCACGUCCCGGCUCGCCGCGCCUGGGAGGUUCUCCUGGCUUCGGUUCCCAGCGCUGCGCCCCGGCGUACUGAAGAUUUAAUACAGACUUAUGGGGAAAUAAAACCAGACGUUGUAAAGUUUGAAUAGUGAAAAAGAAACAUCACACAAACAGGGCACCAGAAUGGAUUUGUUCCAAGUAUUUUGCCCAGACUUCAAGGAUCAUGGAUGUACCCAGGUGGGCUGGCCAGGAUUUCUUAUUGUGGCUAUAGAGGUUGUUGGCAUCAUGGAGGCACUUGGUGGUAUAAUGGAUCUGUUACUUGGCAUACAACUGAAGCUCCUUUUGGACGAGGACAGUGCAUCCUCAGCCAGCAUACCUCAGGCACCUUGGCUACUAAGAAGCAUCCAGUUCAUGGGACAAAAGUAGCUUUGGAGUUAACAGUGUCUGGAAAAUAUCAACAUCAGGACCUCAGUACCACCUGUUGAGCUCUGCUAACGCACUUCUGCUAUGCAGCAUGACCUGAUAGCUGUAAAAGCAGUGAACUGUCUCCCAGCAGUUGCUGUUAUACUUCCUGAAAAAUACACAUCUGAUUAAACUGCCAGCAGUGCUGCUCUGCGAGACAAAGAAAAUUGUUCAUAAUAAUAAUCUUAGCUUGGUUAUCUGCAUUACCU
rnacentral:lncRNA from 7 species